rnacentral:rRNA from 1 species
UACGUAGGGUGCAAGCGUUGUCCGGAAUUAUUGGGCGUAAAGAGCUCGUAGGCGGUCUGUCGCGUCUGCUGUGAAACUCAGGGCUUAACCCUGAGCUUGCAGUGGGUACGGGCAGACUAGAGUGCGGUAGGGGAGACUGGAAUUCCGUGGUGUAGCGGUGAAAUGCGCAGAUAGUCAGGAGGAACACCGGUGGCGAAGGCGGGUCUCUGGGCCGUAACUGACGCUGGAGGAGCGAAAUGCAUCGGGGAGCGAACAGG